rnacentral:rRNA from 1 species
GACGAACGCUGGCGGCGUGCCUAAUACAUGCAAGUAGAACGCUGAAGGAGGAGCUUGCUUCUCUGGAUGAGUUGCGAACGGGUGAGUAACGCGUAGGUAACCUGCCUGGUAGCGGGGGAUAACUAUUUGAAACGAUAGCUAAUACCGCAUAAUAGCAGUUGUUGCAUGACAACUGUUUGAAAGGUGCAAUUGCACCACUACCAUAUGGACCUGCGUUGUAUUAGCUAGUUGGUGGGGUAACGGCUCACCAAGGCGACGCUACAUAGCCGACCUGAGAGGGGGAUCGGCCAACCUGGGACUGAGACACGGCCCAGACUGCUACGGGAGGCAGCAGUAGGGAAUCUUCGGCAAUGGCCGGCAGUCUGACCGCGCAACGCCGCGUGAGUGAAGAAGGUUUUAGGAUCGUAAAGCUCUGUUGUAAGAGAAGAACGAGUGUGAGAGUGGAAAGUUCACACUGUGACGGUAUCUUACCAGAAAGGGACGGCUAACUACGUG